rnacentral:misc_RNA from 1 species
GAAAUGCGAUAAGUAGUGUGAAUUGCAGAAUUCAGUGAAUCAUCGAAUCUUUGAACGCACAUUGCGCCCCUUGGUAUUCCAUGGGGCAUGCCUAUUCGAGCGUCAUCUACACCCUCAAGCUCUGCUUGGUGUUGGGCGUCUGUCCCGCCCCCGCGCGUGGACUCGCCCCAAAUCCAUUGGCAGCGUUCCUUGCCCCCUCUCGCGCAGCACAUUGCGCUUCUCGAGGGCGGCUCCGGGACGCGAUCCAGCAAGAUGACCACCGUCUUUGACCUCGGAUCAGGUAGGGAUACCCGCUGAACUUAAGC